AAGAGGCCUGUGAGACUGGAGCAGGUGGCCAUGGCUGUGACCUUCCACACUUAUGAUGCUGAUCAGAAGGUCUGGGGUGAGGCCUGGGAUGCUGCCUUGCCGACAAGCUGCCAGGUAAUGCUGCUGCUGUUGGUGCAGGAACACAUUACGAGUAACAAGGCUGUGGACGGCCCAUCACCUGACAUUUUUAGCAAAAUCCGCCAUACUACAAAGCUUC
rnacentral:lncRNA from 1 species